UGGAGUUCCAGAAGGAGAGGAUAAAAUGCUGGUCUCACGCAGAACCAGCUUCUCUUAGAGUUCUGUUUCUGGAACGAGCCAUCACCCAGACCGGGACAGAACAUUUUAAAGAUACAUUCAUACAAACUCAAGCCUGGAACAAUGAUCGAAUGAGGGAAUCACUGGCUAAGUUUAUAAAGACCUCCAGUCCAGAGAUGAGACCAAAAACUUUCUUGCUGAAGGAGGGAUUCUAGUGUGUAUUUCACAGGAAAAUGCCACGGGCACUAUCUGAUGUGUGGAGACAUUUCACUGCAGCUAAUGUAGAAGGAAAAGCUGUGUACAUUUGCAAAUACUGUGCCAAAUCAUAUGCGAAGAAUGGUGGUUUCCAUCUGUUUGAUACUAUGGAUUA